CCUACGGGAGGCAGCAGUGAGGAAUAUUGGUCAAUGGACGAGAGUCUGAACCAGCCAAGUAGCGUGAAGGAUGACUGCCCUAUGGGUUGUACACUUCUUUUAUAAAGGAAUAAAACGAGGCACAUGUGCCUUUUUGCAUGUACUUUAUGAAAAAGCAUCGGCUAACUCCGUGCCAGCAGCCGCGGUAAUACGGGGGAUGCGAGCGUUAUCCGGAUUUAUUGGGUUUACAGGGUGCGUAGGCGGACUGUUAAGUCAGCGGUAAAAGGCCGGGGCUCAACCCCGGCGAGCCGUUGAAACUGGCUGUGUUGAGAUGUCGAGAGGUAUGCGGAAUGCGCAGUGUAGCGGUGAAAUGCUUAGAUAUCACGAAGAACUCCGAUUGCGAAGGCAGCUUACUAAACUGCCACUGACAUUGAUGCUCGAAAGUGUGGGUAUCAAACAGGAUUAGAUACCCCAGUAGUC
rnacentral:rRNA from 1 species